GGCCAGUCAUAAAGUGCAGUAUAUAUCCAUAGCAAGAUAGAGAAAUCAACAAAGCUUGGGCUGUCAGUUAGUCUGCAGAGAUGGCAGUUUCAUCACUCUCACUCACCUUCAUUUCAGAACCGUUAACAAAGAAGUUACUCGUCCGCAGUUGGACGAGCUCAGCUGAGUGCGGUGCAGUUUCUUCGCAUGGUGUUACUAAGUGCUCGAGGAGCGCUUCAGAUAAAACUAACUGUACAGUUUCUGGGAACUGUAGAAGGAGGGAACUUAUACUUGGGAUAGGAGCCCUGACUGCCAAUUCAUUACCUGCAAGCCCCCUUCUCGCAGAAGGAAAACUAGAGAAUUAUCAAGUUUUUGUUGACAAAGUUGAUGGUUAUUCAUAUUAUUAUCCCUCAGACUGGAGAGAUUUUGACUUCAGAGGUCAUGAUUCGGCAUUCAAAGACAGAUAUUUACAACUUCAAAAUGUAAGAUUAAGUUUUAUACCAACGGAUAAAACUGAUAUCCAUGAUAUGGGACCAAUGGAAGAGGUUGUGGCAAAUCUUGUAACAAAUGUAUACUCAGCACCAACUCAAGUAGCAACGAUACUGGAUAUGCAAGAGAGAAACAUGGAUGGCAGGAACUACUGGACGUUCGAAUACAUACUCACGUCCCCAAAUUUUGCUCGAGCAGCUUUUGCAACAAUAGCAAUCGGAAACGGAAGAUACUACACAUUAAUCGUCGGAGCAAAUGAAAGACGGUGGAGAAAAGUCCGAAACAAGCUCAAAGUGGUGGCCGACUCCUUUAAAGUGCUGGACAUUUGAAUGCUCUUGUGACCACAAUCUUACACGGAGCUGUUGUUACCAGGUCUUUGCUCUAUACAUAACCAAUGAAUUCGAAAAUGCGUGAACACAGACACGUCUGUUUUUGUAAAUGAUGAUAUAUGUUUCCUUGGCUCUUCCUCUUUCGAGUCAGAAAGAAUAUGAGGCAAGUUUUCAUACUUGAGAUUGUAAAACCGAAACUUCACUUUUCCAUCUUCUUAUAGUCCAUUCGAAAUUGUACAUUCGCCAGGAGUUUGAGGGAAUGGAGAGAUGUGCAUCUCUUGUUUUGUCUGGUAAGAAGGAAAGACAGGGAAAGAACAGGGCUGAGACAAUCCCUCUAUAAGAACAAAUUUUCUGUCCAUCUUGGUUAGGCCCGUUAAUGGACGGGUAUUGCCCUACCCGGAUUCGAACCCAACAAA